rnacentral:rRNA from 1 species
UGAGGAAUAUUGGUCAAUGGACGGAAGUCUGAACCAGCCAAGUAGCGUGCAGGAUGACGGCCCUAUGGGUUGUAAACUGCUUUUAUACGGGGAUAAAGUUAGGGACGUGUCCCUAUUUGCAGGUACCGUAUGAAUAAGGACCGGCUAAUUCCGUGCCAGCAGCCGCGGUAAUACGGAAGGUCCGGGCGUUAUCCGGAUUUAUUGGGUUUAAAGGGAGCGUAGGCCGUAGAUUAAGUGUGUUGUGAAAUGUAGACGCUCAACGUCUGACUUGCAGCGCAUACUGGUUUACUUGAGUUUGCACAACGUUGGCGGAAUUCGUCGUGUAGCGAUGAAAUGCUUAGAUAUGACGAAGAACUCCGAUUGCGAAGGCAGCUUGCGGGAGCAAAACUGACGCUGAAGCUCGAAAGUGCGGGUAUCGAACAGG